UGCCAGCCGCCGCGGUAAUACGGAGGGUGCGAGCGUUAAUCGGAAUUACUGGGCGUAAAGCGCACGCAGGCGGUUUGUUAAGCUAGAUGUGAAAGCCCCGGGCUCAACCUGGGAUGGUCAUUUAGAACUGGCAGACUAGAGUCUUGGAGAGGGGAGUGGAAUUCCAGGUGUAGCGGUGAAAUGCGUAGAUAUCUGGAGGAACAUCAGUGGCGAGGGCAGCUUACUGGACGAUGACUGACGCUGAGGUGCGAAAGCGUGGGGAGCAAACAGGAUUAGAUA
rnacentral:rRNA from 1 species